UGGCGAACGGGUGAGUAACACGUGAGUAACCUGCCCUUAACUCUGGGAUAAGCCUGGGAAACUGGGUCUAAUACCGGAUAUGACUCCUCAUCGCAUGGUGGGGGGUGGAAAGCUUUAUUGUGGUUUUGGAUGGACUCGCGGCCUAUCAGCUUGUUGGUGAGGUAAUGGCUCACCAAGGCGACGACGGGUAGCCGGCCUGAGAGGGUGACCGGCCACACUGGGACUGAGACACGGCCCAGACUCCUACGGGAGGCAGCAGUGGGGAAUAUUGCACAAUGGGCGCAAGCCUGAUGCAGCGACGCCGCGUGAGGGAUGACGGCCUUCGGGUUGUAAACCUCUUUCAGUAGGGAAGAAGCGAAAGUGACGGUACCUGCAGAAGAAGCGCCGGCUAACUACGUGCCAGCAGCCGCGGUAAUACGUAGGGCGCAAGCGUUAUCCGGAAUUAUUGGGCGUAAAGAGCUCGUAGGCGGUUUGUCGCGUCUGCCGUGAAAGUCCGGGGCUCAACUCCGGAUCUGCGGUGGGUACGGGCAGACUAGAGUGAUGUAGGGGAGACUGGAAUUCCUGGUGUAGCGGUGAAAUGCGCAGAUAUCAGGAGGAACACCGAUGGCGAANGCAGGUCUCUGGGCAUUAACUGACGCUGANGAGCGAAAGCAUGGGGAGCGAACAGGAUUAGAUACCCUGGUAGUCCAUGCCGUAAACGUUGGGCACUAGUGUGGGGGACAUUCCACGUUUUCCGCGCCGUAGCUAACGCAUUAAGUGCCCCGCCUGGGGAGUA
rnacentral:rRNA from 1 species